UACGUAGGGUGCAAGCGUUGUCCGGAAUUAUUGGGCGUAAAGAGCUCGUAGGCGGUUUGUCGCGUCUGCUGUGAAAAUCCAGGGCUUAACCCUGGACCUGCAGUGGGUACGGGCAGACUGGAGUGCGGUAGGGGAGAUCGGAAUUCCUGGUGUAGCGGUGAAAUGCGCAGAUAUCAGGAGGAACACCGGUGGCGAAGGCGGGACUCUGGGCCGAUACUGACGCUGAGGAGCGAAAGCGUGGGGAGCGAACAGG
rnacentral:rRNA from 1 species